UACGGGGGGGGCAAGCGUUGUUCGGAAUUACUGGGCGUAAAGGGCUCGUAGGCGGCCAACUAAGUCGGACGUGAAAUCCCUCGGCUUAACCGGUGAACUGCGUCCGAUACUGGAUGGCUUGAGUUCGGGAGAGGGAUGCGGAAUUCCAGGUGUAGCGGUGAAAUGCGUAGAUAUCUGGAGGAACACCGGUGGCGAAGGCGGCAUCCUGGACCGACACUGACGCUGAGGAGCGAAAGCCAGGGGAGCAAACGGG
rnacentral:rRNA from 1 species